ACAAAAUUGUUGAAGGGAGCCUGAGACUCAAGCAUUUCAUUGCUGUUGCUUUCAUUUGUUUUGAAUGUGACAUUUUUUUAUAUGAUUAUGCCGCUCCUUGGAAGACAAAGGUUGGGAACCCCUGCUUUACAGUACUUUGUCUCUUCGCUCAGAAUAAAUAUUGUUUAGAACCAAUGGAGGACGGGACACGAGAUCAGCAUGGAGAUCUAAUUGGACGCGGUAGUAUUUACCCAGUGUUAGCACACCGCAAGCUAAUGCUAAUUAUAAUUAGCACUUCGCAAACUGAUGCUAACCCUGUUUUUGCAGAGCACAAGCUUACGGUUACCUUGUAUUGUCACAGCAGCUGUUAAUGCUAACCCAGUAGAAGCACACCACAAUCAAAUGCUAACCCUUUAUUAGCACAGCACAAGCUAAUCCCAAUCUGGGUCAUCCCUAUGUUCCCCAGGUCCUAUGUUCCCUGUGUGCAAAGGGUUAGGGUCAGGUUUAGGGUUAUGGUUAUGGUUAGGGUGAGAGCCAUUCUAACCAAUCACAGGCGAAUCAGAGGCGAAAAAGGCGGUACUUGCCCCUACCAUCCUACGAAAAAAAGAUUUGCUUACAGGGUCCUAUGUUCACCAGUCACAUACAAAGCGGGGAACAUAGGACCCGGGAACAAAGGUACGCUCCCUCCCAAUCCUGUAUUAGCACAGCACACGGCAAUGACCCUGUAUUAGCACAGCAUAAUUAAAUGCCAACCAAGAAUCAGCAGAGAACAAGCUAAUGCUGACCCAUUGUUAGAACAAUACAGAGCACAAGCUAAUGCUAACCCUGUAUCAGCGGAACACAUAGCAACCCUGUAGCAGAAGCUAAUGCUAACCCUGUAUCAGCGGAACACAUAGCAACCCUGUAGCAGAAGCUAAUGUUAACCCUGUAGGAGAAGCUAAUGUUAACCCUGUAUCAGAAGCUAAUGCUAACCCUGUAUCCGAAGCUAAUGCUAACCCUGUAUCAGCGGAACACAUAGCCACCCUGUAUCAGAAGCUAAUGCUAACCCUGUAUCAGCGGAACACAUAGCCACCCUGUAUCAGAAGCUAAUGCUAACCCUGUAUCUGAAGCUUAUGCUAAUGGAAAUAACUAUUAGGAGUAAGAAAUAGGAAUAAGAACAACUGAUUAAACAUUUUGAGACGGACAGAGGGCUGGAACUCCCUAACGGCGUUCUUAUCAACCGUCAUGUGGUUAGGUUUAGGGCUGUGCAAAGUGACUUACUGCAAGUGUUAUUUAAUUUUAAGUGAGUGGAACUAAAAACAAAAACGAUUUCUGUUACGAUUGUUAACAUUCUGUGGGCAAAACCUUUCAAAAUCAAAGUAAAAAAAAAACAAGAGAACAUGCGUCAAUUUGUAUUAAUCGUAAAAUGAGAUUGCGGUAACAUGUAAUUAACAUGUUAAAUUGCCAAGCCCUAAUCAGAAAACCUUGUGGACAGAAAACCUCCACCAAGCGGUUCUAACUUUGCUACCAGGAAGCUACAAGUUACAAAAGAGUAAAAUACAGUUUAAAAUAUGGAAGUCAGACAGAGAGCGGUUGAUCUGGUUGGUUAUAAAGUUGAUGAGUAUUUGUAAAUACAAGUGUGAGGCAUCGAGACAAUCAUCGCGUCAAAAAGUCAUUUUUCAAAGGUUGUCGGUCCGAGGCUAGCUGGUUGGUUAACGUAGGGCCGAGCCGACCAGUCGACCGCCAACCCCUACCUCGGUGUUGUGGUUCACUUUAAUACCUACUGGCAGCAUAUGACAUCAGCAACUAGUGACAUCAUCCCCAAGGGACGGGGGGGGUUCCCCUCCGAGCUGCCCUCUGACCCCAUCUUUAGAACAACCGGUACCACAACCUCUUCCUCCAUUGAUUCAAGAAGGGUGCAGGGUGGCCUCACAGAGCACCCACUCAUUGAGAGGACACCGUGCACCGCAGUCUGUGUGGAUCGAUGUUCAACCUUCAGUCCUCAAACCUUCCCAGCCCCCGCCGGCCCCCGAGGUCCGGGCCCCCCCACAAGGCCUCAUCACGGGGUGAGGCUGACGGCUGUGGACGCUGUGGGCGCUGGGAGGACCAGCACCCGUGGGGGGGGUCACUGACCGUCUCCACGCUCACUUGAGACCUUGCCAAUAACUCGUACUAAUAAUAAAUAAUACUAUUAUUACUAUGGUAAUACCACGACUACCACAACAAAAUACUCCCUCAUCUGGGAACCGUCUGAUUCUGCGUUACUUCUGCCGUAUCAUCUGGUGUGGUGUAAAAAAAUAAUACAAAUAAAAAUGAUUUGAGGUGGGAGGGUUGAAUCUGGUUGCAGUAGUCUGCUUUGGUCUAGGGGGGCGCUGGGGGGG
ensembl:lncRNA